rnacentral:rRNA from 1 species
UACGGGGGGUGCGAGCGUUGUCCGGAAUCACUGGGCGUAAAGGGCGCGUAGGUGGCCUGAUAAGGGUGUGGUGAAAGUCCGGGGCUCAACCCCGGAUCUGCCGUGCCGACUGUUGGGCUGGAGUACUGUAGGGGCAGGCGGAAUUCCGGGUGUAGCGGUGGAAUGCGUAGAUAUCAGGAGGAACACCUGUGGCGAAAGCGGCUCACUGGACCACAACUGACGCUGAGGCGCGAAAGCUAGGGGAGCAAACAGG